GUCGUCGCUGAGUUAGAGAUCGGCGAACGAUGUAUUAUCAACCACUCGUUUAUGAGGAUUUAAUUAUGUCUCUAAGUACAGAAAAAAAAGCAGCUAUCGUUGCUGAAUUUGGUCGUGAUGC
rnacentral:ncRNA from 1 species